UAAGCGGAGGAAAAGAAACUAACAAGGAUUCCCCUAGUAACGGCGAGUGAACAGGGAAGAGCUCAAAUUUGUAAUCUGGCGUCCUUUGGGCGUCCGAGUUGUAAUCUAUAGAAGUGUUUUCCGUGCUGGACCAUGUCCAAGUCCCUUGGAACAGGGUAUCAAAGAGGGUGACAAUCCCGUGCUUGACAUGACGACCAGUGCUCUGUGAUACACUCUCUACGAGUCGAGUUGUUUGGGAAUGCAGCUCAAAAUGGGUGGUGAGUUCCAUCUAAAGCUAAAUAUUGGCGAGAGACCGAUAGCGAACAAGUACCGUGAGGGAAAGAUGAAAAGCACUUUGGAAAGAGAGUUAAACAGUACGUGAAAUUGUUGAAAGGGAAACGAUUGAAGUCAGUCGUGUCUGAGGGGUUCAGCCGGUCACGCCGGUCUACUCCCCUUGGAUGGGUCAACGUCAGUUUGGAUCGGUGGAAAAAGGCAGUUUGAAGGUGGCAGCUCCGGCUGUGUUAUAGCUUUCUGUCACAUACACUGGACUGGACUGAGGCAUGCAGCUCGCCCUCGUGGCUGGGGUUCUCCCACAUUCGAGCUUAGGAUGUUGACAUAAUGGCUUUAACGACCCGUCUUGAAACACG
rnacentral:rRNA from 1 species